UAUUCAUAUAAAUUCCAUUUUAUUCACGUGUGGGCAUCUAUUUCAUUUCUGUGAAAUGUGAAAGAUACAAUAAUCCAAUCGGCUGUAUGUAGUAAAAAUCAUCUUCAUGAAGUAUAAGCAUUGAAAUGCAACUAAUUAUGUGCAUGAAGGACCGUAUAACAGGCAAAGCUAAACCAAAGAUCUAAAAGGUCACAUGAACAUCAAACAGAGAUACAAUGCUGCUCCACCCAAACUGAGCUGAGGUGUGAAAUAAAAUAAAGAAUAGAACAGGCUGCAGGAAGUGAGCAGCGCUUUAACUGUCUGUGGUCAGGGUGGCUCUCGCCUGAAAUUAGGCAGCUUCACCCAUAGCCCCGCCCGCUACUCCUCUGCACAAAAGAGCCAAGCAGGGGCACCUCACAGUACCCGCUUUGGGGCCCCACAGCUGUGACACUUUCACACAGUUAACUACACCUGUCCGCUCCUUAUAUCUUCUGCGAAAGUAAGUGCAAUAUCUAUGUUGAUCUGGGGGUUAUAGGCUAGGCUACAGCAGCAAAAUAUUGUUAUUCGCAUUGGAACAUGGUUCCCUCUUUUUUCUGGCUUUUAAACUACUGUUAACGCAUUUUACACAGCUGUGAUGGUCAUGUAGAUCUUUAAUGUUUUUAUAUUCAUUAUUGUGUACCAAUAUGUCAAGUUACACAGUGAAGUUACAUUCUUGUAAAAUAAUCUAUGUUGUCUGUAAUUUGAUUUUAUAUUGUCAUUCUCCAACCAUGUUAAACCUGCGUGAGCUGCUGUCUGUCUUGGCCAGGACACUCAACGAGACUCUCCUGGUUAAAGUAAAAUGUAAUAAUAUUUACAAAUAGAAACAAUUAUUCUUAAAGCUUUGCAUACAUCACAGUCAGUCUGCCAUGUUCAGAAAUAUGAGCCUGUCAGCAGGGCCCUUUCAGACAGUUUGAAAACCGUUAAGAUCACACCUCCUCUACCAGCGUAAGUGCAUGAUUUAGCCCUGUUUUAUUCUUAAUGGCUGUUAACACAUUUUUUCAUUGAGUUGUAAAAUAAUGUAAUGAUUCAAUAGAGUGCCUUGAUAGAAGAUGAGAGAAGAAAUCUUUGAUUUUUGCACGCUUCAAUUUGUUGCAUUUGUUGCAAACAGUAAAAAAAUUUAAGUACAGUGUUGUUGUUCUCUGAUCUACGGAUUACAGCGAGUGCUUUAUUCUGUGCUAAUCUAGUGUUCCUAAUGGAGAUCAGUCUCUCUCACUGCUGAAAGGUGGCUAUGUGACCAGUGGGGUAAAUAUGCACAGCAUUCGUUAAAACAGUAAAUUAGCUUUCUUAAAAUUAAAAUAAUGUAAAAAGAAAUCAUAAUAAUAAAAAAAUAAAAACAAAAAAAAGAUAAUUGUUUUCUGAAAGUAACUUUUUUUUUAAUUACUUUCCAUGUUAUCUGUUAAACGCUGAAUAUCAGUGAUUCAUUUUGUGGAAUUUUGGUUAUGGCUUAAAAAACAAAAGGCAAUAAUAUAAGUUAUGUUUUUUAUAUGUAUGUUCAGGCCGAUGCAGCCAUGCCCCAAACAACCUCAACAGUAUUUUUGUAAGCCCUUCUCUCUGCCUCAGUCCUCAAGACCCCUGUCUGAAGAUAGUACAGUCUCAUAUUGUAUUAUAUUCUGUGCAGAUUAUAAUCUCCAAACUCAAGUCACUUUUAAAGUGUAAAUAAUAAUCAAGACCUGUAUAUGUGUAUUUGGAUAAAUAUUUUCAAUCUGAUGCAGCCAUGCUCUUCAAUACCUUGUUGGUAAUCGUUCUCUCUGCGUCAGGUAAAUUGUUUGUAUGUUUUUUUUCCAAAUGUUGUUCUGAUGUUUCAGUCUACAUAUACAGUAUUUAUCAGCAUGUGUUACUAUUCAUUAGUCUCCCUUCAUAAACUCAAUCAGAAGCAACAAAAGUGAAUGCAGUUAAAAUACAUUAAAGAAUGUAUAUAAUUAAUAUAAAAUAAUGUUCUACAGUACAUUAGUUUAGAGUAGUGCAACAUCGCUCAUCUGAGAAGAGAGGGGAUAUAAGAUAAAACUGAUAAGAUGAAGUUCCUCUUCAUACUCAGCAUUGAAACUGAGACAGAGGCAUGAUAUAAAUAUCUGUGGCACGUUUAAAUUAAAACCAGUUUGUUUUCACUGUAAGCAAAACAUAACAGUUUUCAGCCAACGGUAUACGCAGACACUCGCUCAUAACUAGCUUGGUUUGCUACUACAUUCUAGCAAAGCUAGCUACUAAGCAAGACUUCCUGUACCUGCGAAUCUCACAUUGAUCGGAGGCUACUGCCAUCUACUGACAUAAGUUAGUAUUGAAAUACAAGUACAAUUAUUGAUGUUCCAUAGUUUUGGAGAAGUUAGGUGCACUUGUUUUAAAGUUUUGUUAAUUGUAUCCCUUAGCUGUCAUG